AACUAAAAAACUUUCAAAAUGAAAAUAAGUCAACAUAAACAAGUGAAGCGGAGGAGGGGAGAGACAACGUUGUCCCGCAACUACCACAUACAGGAAGUAGUAUGACUUCUGAGCUGCAAUUGGAUAACGUCAACGUCUCUGAUAACGGUUCGCAUCAAGAAUCUUGGAGGUUUUGCGCCAUCUAGAGGCUAUUGGCUAUAAACAUUACAAAAGUACUAGGCCUACAGAGAGUAUUCCUCAAAAUGUACAAAAUGUAUAGAAAAUUCAGCGAAACUUCUGUUCAUCACCACACUGGCCACUCCUUUUAGAUCGGGCAGACAUUCCUUAUCGCCAGGAUGAAGAAGUUCAAAAUCUCGCAGCAGUGCCCUAUAUACAGGGAGAUGAGUGACCGUAGACUCACCUGCUAUUCCUGAUGGCUCUGUGAGGCACAGCCAGUGGGGCUACAGGUCUCAGUCUGAGCACCUCACUGAUGAGAGCGGACAGUACCUCUGGUCUGUGGAGGAGGAAAGCCACAGUCCAGCUCAGCCAGGCCGCUGUGGUCUCCGUCCCACCAAUUAACAGAUCCACUGUGGUCAUGUGCACAUGAGUGUCCGUCAGUGUCUGUGGAAAAUGAACAAAGCCACUGACACUAACCCAUUAAUGGAGACGAGAGAAAGGAGGAUUUGGCAGUUUCUGAUUGACCACAAAGAUCAAAUGAUUACGGUAAAGAUGAUAAUGCUGAAGCAAGCAGACAAACCUGCUGUGUUUAUACUAAAACUCCACAGUAAGCUACCUCCUA